AUACUUCAUCCUGUUGAGGAUAUAAUAAACCAUUCUCGUUCCCAAGAGGCAAUGAAGGUGGAGUUCCAGGUGGGAUAGAAGCAGCACCAUUCUCACCAGCACAUAUGCACAAAGCCUCUGCAUCCCUGAGGAUUGCAUCAAGGUCAAUAUGGCCACUCAGCUCAUUGAUGAACUUCAAGAGCGUGUCAAAGUCCAUCUGCUCUCCCAUUAUCUUGUUGCGAUAUCGCUUCAAGAUUGCAACACAUGCAUACAGAUGCAGGUGUUCAGACAAAUAGUGUGUCCACAAUACCUCCCACAGACGCAUAGUUUUCUCAUAUUCAAAUUCUCUUUUAAAUUGUAUUAGAAUCCAGCGGAAACAAAAGAAGUAAUUCAAGCAAUCAUUCUGCUUGAAAUA
rnacentral:misc_RNA from 1 species